GACGAACGCUGGCGGCGUGCCUAAUACAUGCAAGUUGAGCGCUGAAGGUUGGUACUUGUACCGACUGGAUGAGCAGCGAACGGGUGAGUAACGCGUGGGGAAUCUGCCUUUGAGCGGGGGACAACAUUUGGAAACGAAUGCUAAUACCGCAUAAAAACUUUAAACACAAGUUUUAAGUUUGAAAGAUGCAAUUGCAUCACUCAAAGAUGAUCCCGCGUUGUAUUAGCUAGUUGGUGAGGUAAAGGCUCACCAAGGCGAUGAUACAUAGCCGACCUGAGAGGGUGAGCGGCCACAUUGGGACUGAGACACGGCCCAAACUCCUACGGGAGGCAGCAGUAGGGAAUCUUCGGCAAUGGACGAAAGUCUGACCGAGCAACGCCGCGUGAGUGAAGAAGGUUUUCGGAUCGUAAAACUCUGUUGGUAGAGAAGAACGUUGGUGAGAGUGGAAAGCUCAUCAAGUGACGGUAACUACACAGAAAGGGACGGCUAACUACGUG
rnacentral:rRNA from 1 species